CUAAUUACUGUAAUUAUGCUAACAACCAUAAAAACCAAAAACACUAUGAAAAUAAAAUAACAUACUUGUCUUCAAGAAUCCAAGGAUCAAAUCAACAUAUUCAAGCUUUCUUUCCAUCAACUUGUAAUCUUCUUUCAACUUUAAAACCUCAUGUUUGACCUCAUUUUUCAGCUUCAUAAACUCUUCCUUGAGCAUAUUUUCUAGCUUAAUAACAUCUUCCAGUAGCUCAUUCACAUGUUGACACUUAACAAUUUUCCUUAUUGAAGAGUUUCAACUCUAUCAAGUUGAAGUGGAAGUCGAUGAUGGCAAGCAACACACUAUCCCUAAAAUGGUCCACAUAUAUUGUCUAUGCAAUAGUAAUAUGGGCGGUUAGGGUUUUCUGCAGAUUGGGAAAGUCUCACCCCAAUCUACGAUUCAUAGCCAUGAAUCUUGAAUCCCAUCCACAUAUAGUGCCACUUGAAUGAGACAUUAUGGUUGAAACAAAUGAAGAAACGAAAAUGGAGGGACAAGAAGAGGUGGAUGUUGCAAAUAUGAGAGAGAAAUGGUGCUGUGAAG
rnacentral:misc_RNA from 1 species